rnacentral:rRNA from 1 species
UGGCGGGACGGGGGAGUAAUGUCUGGGAAACUGCCCGAUGGAGGGGGGUAACUACUGGAAACGGUAGCUAAUACCGCAUAACGUCGCAAGACCAAAGAGGGGGACCUCCGGGCCUCGCGCCAUCAGAUGAACCCAUAUGGGAUUAGCUUGUAGGUAAGGUAACGGCUUACCUAGGCGACGAUCCCUAGCUGGUCUGAGAGGAUGAUCAGCCACACUGGGACUGAGACACGGCCCAG